rnacentral:rRNA from 1 species
CCUACGAGUGGCAGCAGUGAGGAAUAUUGGUCAAUGGACGCAAGGCUGAACCAGCCAUGCCGCGUGCAGGAAGACGGCGCCAUGAGUUGUAAACUUCUUUUGUACGAGGAUAAACUCAGAUACGCGUAUCUGUCUGAAAGUAUCUGACGAAUAAGGAUCGGCUAACUCCGUGCCAGCAGCCGCGGUAAUACGGAGGAUUCAAGCGUUAUCCGGAUUUAUUGGGUUUAAAGGGUGCGUAGGCGGUCGGAUAAGUUAGAGGUGAAAUCCCGAGGCUCAACUUCGGAAUUGCCUCUGAUCCUGGUUGGCUAGAGAGUAGUAGAGGUAGGCGGAAUGUGUGGUGUAGCGGUGAAAUGCUUAGAGAU